rnacentral:misc_RNA from 1 species
GAAAGAUUGAUUCUCCAAUUGUGGAGGCUGCAAUCAAUGAUCUCAUUGAUAAAAUUUUGAAGGAUUUUGUUGUAGAUUUGUGGUAUUCAGAAAUUACACCCGACAAGGAGGCACCUGAGUUAAUGCGUGCAGUGAUCAUGGAUGCUAUUGGUGAAAUAUCAGGAAGGAUUAAGGAAAUAAACCUUGUUGACCUGCUAACAAGGGAUAUAAUUGAUUU